UGCAAGUCGAGCGGUAACAGGUCUAGUUUACUAGACGCUGACGAGCGGCGGACGGCUGAGUAACGCGUGGGAACGUGCCCCAAAGUGAGGGAUAACUGCCCGAAAGGGUGGCUAAUACCGCAUAUGGUCUUCGGAUUAAAGGAUUUAUCCGCUUUGGGAGCGGCCCGCGUCGGAUUAGGUUGUUGGUGAGGUAAUGGCUCACCAAGCCUACGAUCCGUAACUGGUUUGAGAGGAUGAUCAGUCAGACUGGAACUGAGACACGGUCCAGACUCCUACGGGAGGCAGCAGUGAGGAAUCUUCCACAAUGGGCGAAAGCCUGAUGGAGCAACGCCGCGUGCAGGAUGAAGGCCUUCGGGUUGUAAACUGCUUUUAUGAGUGAAGAAUAUGACGGUAACUCAUGAAUAAGCACCGGCUAACUACGUGCCAGCAGCCGCGGUCAUACGUAGGGUGCAAGCAUUAUCCGGAGUGACUGGGCGUAAAGAGUUGCGUAGGCGGUUUGUAAAGCGAAUAGUGAAAUCUGGUGGCUCAACCAUCAACCCAUUAUUCGAACUCACAAACUCGAGAGUAGCAGAGGUAACUGGAAUUUCUGGAGUAGGGGUAAUAUCCGUAGAUCUCAGAAGGAACACCAAUGGCGUAGGCAGGUUACUGGGCUAUUUCUGACGCUAAGGCACGAAAGCGUGGGGAGCGAACCGGAUUAGAUACCCGGGUAGUCCACGCCGUAAACGAUGGAUACUAGCUGUUGGAGGUAUCGACCCCUUCAGUAGCAAAGCUAACGCGUUAAGUAUCCCGCCUGUGGANUANNGCUGCANGGNUAAAACAUAAAGGAAUUGANNGGNNCCNNCACAAGCGGUGGNUCNUGUUCUUUA
rnacentral:rRNA from 1 species